GCAGUCAAGAAUAUUAGUCAAUGCUCGCAAGAGUGAACUAGCUAACUGAAAUCACAGAAUCCACUACGUGUGGUGACUGUUAUAACGUAAGGGAAAAAAAUGAUGUUACCUUACUAUUAGUGUUGUCCAAAACUGGUGCCAGAAGACUCGGUAAGGCCAGAGACGCAAACGUUAGUCGUCCUAAUCAGGCGUAAAGGGUAUGUAGGCUGCUUUAAAAGUUUUAUAUUUAAUAGCUCUGUAUAAAAAAAGUAAUAUAUCUAAAAAUAUAAAAUUUCUAUACAGUAAAAUAUAAAAUGAAUUAAAGCUAGGAUCAAAUUGAGGAUAAGUCAAAUAAUGCUUAGUGUAGGGUUUAAAUCUGGUGAUACUAGGAGGAGUACUAACGGUGAAAGCUUUUUAUCUAGAAAUGAUUGACGCUGAGAAACGAAGGUGAGAAUAGGAAAUAGGAUUAGAUACCCAGAUACCUCUCACAGUCAACGAUGAAUGGUGGUUGUUAGUUAGUUUUAUUUAACUGAUAACGAUGUUAACACGAUNACCAUUCCGCCUUGCGAGUACGGUUGCAAAACUGAAACCAAAAAAAUUAGUCGGUCUCGAAGCAAACGAAGUGAAGCAUGUUAUUUAAUUC
rnacentral:rRNA from 1 species